GUCCCCGUAGCUUAACGGAUAGAGCGCGGCCCUGCGGAGGCCGAUAUAUGAGUUCAAUUCUCAUCGGGGACGCCA
rnacentral:tRNA from 2 species